GCCCGGGUGGCGAAACUGGCAGACGCACGGGACUUAAAAUCCCGGGCUCCGAAAGGAGCGUACCGGUUCAAUUCCGGUCCCGGGCACCA
rnacentral:tRNA from 1 species